UGGGGAAUCUUGGACAAUGGGCGCAAGCCUGAUCCAGCCAUGCCGCGUGAGUGACGAAGGCCUUAGGGUUGUAAAACUCUUUCGUGGGGGACGAUAAUGACGGUACCCCAAGAAGAAGCUCCGGCUAACUUCGUGCCAGCAGCCGCGGUAAUACGAAGGGGGCUAGCGUUGUUCGGAUUUACUGGGCGUAACGCGCAUGUAGGCGGGUCGUUAAGUUGGGGGUGAAAUCCCGGAGCUCAACUCCGGAACUGCCUCCAAAACUGGCGACCUGGAGCAAGAUAGAGGCGAGUGGAAUUCCGAGUGUAGAGGUGAAAUUCGUAGAUAUUCGGAGGAACACCAGUGGCGAAGGCGACUCGCUGGAUCUUUGCUGACGCUGAGAUGCGAAAGCGUGGGGAGCAAACA
rnacentral:rRNA from 1 species